rnacentral:lncRNA from 1 species
AAAGUUGUUGAGCCAAGAAUUCCUAGUUCAUUAUUUCCAAAUUUAUCAGUCAAGUAUGUCAGAAACUUGGCUCAUCUUACAAUCACUGAAGGCUAGGUAGGAUGUUGAAUUUGUUGUCAUUGUGUUUCCAUGAGCAUCAAACUUUCAGGAUGGGCUUUAGCAGCUGGGAGGAAAAUUCUGAGAUAACAAUUCUUAAAAUUGUUAUUUUGAGAAAUGUGGCAAAUCAAGCCUCUUGAUUUCUCAGAGGUUGAUAUUGUAUGAAGAAAUAUGAACAUUGAUGACUCUGAGUACAAACACAUUUCAAACAGUCAUUAGACCAUUUAUUUAAUUUGUUUUCCUUCCUCAUGUAUACACAUGAAUGAUACAUAAUAAAUAUCUAGGUCUAAUUAAACUUGAAAGACUUCUUUCUGUAAAUAUAAAAUAAAAAGGCAACACAAUCAGAAAUCUUUCCGUAAUUGGAUUUGUAAAUUUUUCUAUUAAUUAGUGUUAACAGAAAAUAAUGGUGUGCCUUGUAAUUGAUGGCAUCUUAUGUUAAAGGAAGUAAGAUAGUUCAUUGAAAUACACUUGUAAUUAACAAGUCCAUAUCCAGUGGGAGUAGUACUUACUUAGUAUUUCAAAGUUAACCACAGAACAGGCUCUUGCUCCUUUGGACAAUUGACUAUGGAUAUUAAUUUAAUUCAAAUAAUCUAAGUUAGUAAGUAAUAAAGAAAAUGCUAUUUGAAGCAAGAUUCCUGUGAAACAUGCUGAACACUUGGAUGGUAAUAGCUUAACAGUUACUUAUCUUUUUUUAAUUAAAUUCUGGCCCCCAAAACCUACUUCUGCCUUCUAGAAUGAGAAAGUGUGACGAUACAUUUUAUUUCUAUUCCCCUUUUGCUGUGAAGAAAUAAAAUGUCAUUAGACUAGGCAAGUUCCUUGCAAUAAUCUUGGCUAUUGUAUUCAUGUUCUCUUCAUAGAUCUUUUUCUUAUCAGAUAAGAUUUAGAUAUUCUCUUUUCUAGCUAAUAUAAUUUCAAGCCCUUGUUUCAUUUUCCUUAAUUUUUGGUAUUCGGUGUGAAUAUCUUGGCCAUAAGCUGUCCUCUUUGGCUUCCAGGUCUCUCGAUUUUACUCUUAUAUUCAUGUAAUGGAUCUGUAUUUUCUACCAUAGGGCCUUCUUUUUAUUACAGCUCAGCCUUUACCUUGGGUGAAAAUUCUUCACUGAGAUCCUGGACUCCACAAGUCCUAGAGAGAUUCCUCUGUCUUCCUGGCAGACAGCAGAGUUCAUUGGGCAUGACCCGCCAGUGUUUGUGCUUUAAUAAAUCUCCCAUCUCUCACUGAUCUGGGACACUUCCUCAACUAACUUGUCCAGUUUUCCAACCACCUCUAUUUUUACAGAGUCUCACUCUGUCCCCCAGGCUGGAGUGCAAUGGCGCAAUCUCGGCUCACCGCUACAGAUUCAAGCUUGAACUUUUACAAUUUUGAAUAAUUUUCUGUGCUUUUUUUUGCUAAUUUAUGUACAUUAGUUAUAAUAUGUUUGGUAUUUAUUGACUGCCCUUUUUUAUACCCUUUAUUCUUUUAUCACAUUUAUCUUUUUUCUUAUUUGUCUGCAUAUCAUGCAGUUUGCUCAGGCUUUCUCUAUUAACUCAUUUUCAUUUUUCCUUUGGGUAAAUUCUAUACAUUGUUAUAUGUCACAUGUAUUUAUAUUAUUUAUAUUAUUUACACUUCUAAUGUUUACAAUACAUUUUCUGCUUUUUAAAAUUCUGGUUUUAUUGUGGAUUUAUAGAGGAGAGAAUUUUCAGAUUACCCUUAUCACAGAUUUUGUUACCAGAUGUACUUGAAGUAAUUUUCUCCUGUUAAUUUAAUGUUAGUGUUUUUCCAGAAAUCUCUGUCAUAUUUCAUUCUACAUUCUGAUACACCUAUUAAAAUAUAAAAUAUGUGUUCUUAAAUAUAUAAUAUUUUCGGUGUCUCUCUUUUAAAUCUUCAUACCUGUUUUUUUCUAUAAAUUUUCUUUUUAAAAACCUUUUCAAACACUCGCUUUUCCCUUAAAAAAUAUUAGCUACUUGUCCAUUUUCCUAGUAACGAACAUUUAGAUUACAUCCAAAUAUCUUCCACGAGAAACAUCGCUAUUGUAAAAGUAUAAUCAUAAAUGCUAUGGUUUUGAUGUUUUCCCUCAAAACACAUGUGGAAAUUUAAUCCUAACGUUGGAGGUGGGGUUUAUGGGAGGUAUUUUGGUCAUGGGAAAACAUUCUUCAUAAAUAAACACCUUCUCUGAAGAGUAGAGGAGAGUGAGUGAUUUUUUUUCUCUAUUAGUUUUCCUGAGAACUAGUUGUUUAAAAAAAAGUCUGGCACCUCCCCUCUCUCUUGCUUCCUCUCUCCACAUGUGAUCUCUGCACAUCUGGCUCCUCAGCCUUCCACCAUAGUGGAAGCAACCUGAGGCCCUCAUCAGAUGCAGAUGCUGGUGUAAUGAAACUCAUACAGUCUUCAGAACUGUGAGCCAAAGAAGCCUUUUUUGUUUAUCAAUUACCCAAUCUCUGUUAUUUCUUUAUGGCAACAAAAAACAGACUAAGACAAUAAAAUUUUUGAAAAUUUGUUUGGAAUAUAAAUCAAUAGAUGAAAUUGCAGUCUUCAAGUAUACACAUACUGAUUUCACUGAAUAAAACCAGAUUAUUUUCCACAAGACAGAUGUUCCUUGAUUUAUGAUGGGUUUGUGUCCCAUCAUAUGUUGACAAUAUCAUAGGUUGAAAAUGCAUUUAAUAUGCUAACAUAUUGAACAUCCUGUCUUAGCCUGGCCUACCUUAAACGUGCUAAGAACACUUAUAGUAGCCUAGAGUUGGCCAGAGUCUUAUAACUUAAUGUCUAUUUUAUAACUUGAACACAGGACAUUGGAGAGUACAGUACUCAUGAGAGCAGUAUUGCUUGGCUGACUGGGAGCUGGGGCUCACUGCUGCUUCCCAGCAUAACAAAAUAGCAUUGUAUUGCCUAUUACUUGCCUAGAAAAGAACAAAAUUCAAAUUUGGAGUAUGUUUCUACUGAAUAUGUUUCAUCUGCACACCAUUGUAAAGUCAAAAAACUGUAAGUCAAACCAUGGCAAAUCAGGGAACUGUUUGUGUAUUUACCAGUUCAAAUGCUCAGCAGCAUUGGAAAAUAGUACUAAUCUCCCAAAAUAGGAUGUUAUUCAACGUUCAAAGUUUUACAAGUUGACAGCUUUGAGGUACUAUCAUGUUGUUUCAAUUUUCAUUAAUCAACUUAUGAGCGGCAACACAAAACAUAGUCAUAUAUAGCAUUUAGUUAUCUUACUUUUCCUUUCUAUUCCUAUUUAUUACUUGUGCUCAUUUCCAUAAUGUAUUUCACUUCUUUUUCUUGUCAAUUUCUAGUUCUUUGUACAUUCCAGAUAUUAGUAAUUGUUUUAAAAAUUAAGACAUUGUAAUCAUGUUCUCAUAUUAUGGUGACACUUUUAUUUCAUAUCAAGUUUCCCAUACGCAUGUGUCUAUUUCUGAGCUGUCCAGCUGUUCCAUUGGUGAGUGUGUUGGUUUUGGCCCUAGUCCCUAUAUAUAUUUUACUCUUGCCUUGCCAUUAUUAUUUAAUAUUUGAUACGCUGAGUAUCACUCUUUUGGGAUUUUUGAAGUACAUUUGCUAUUUAGAAAGAUUUAUUCUUUUGCAUGCAUUAUACUAUUUUAAUAGUUUAACUCUAUGGCAUACACAUGUAUACAU